rnacentral:rRNA from 1 species
UACGUAGGGCGCAAGCGUUGUCCGGAAUUAUUGGGCGUAAAGAGCUCGUAGGCGGUCUGUUGCGUCCGCUGUGAAAACUCGGGGCUUAACCCCGAGCCUGCAGUGGAUACGGGCAGACUAGAGGUAGGUAGGGGAGAAUGGAAUUCCCGGUGUAGCGGUGAAAUGCGCAGAUAUCGGGAGGAACACCGGUGGCGAAGGCGGUUCUCUGGGCCUGUACUGACGCUGAGGAGCGAAAGCGUGGGGAGCGAACAGG